rnacentral:lncRNA from 1 species
UUUGUUAAAGUUGUGUUAAGAAAUGUCAUUUAGUGAUCCAAGAUGUUACAUCAUGGAUCCAUAACAUCUAGGUGUUAGAAAAUCAAGUUUUAGAACUGUCUUAAAACCUUAAUUUUGUUGUCUAACAGCCAAUGUCAGGGCUCAUAGAUCUCAACUUGUUAAUGAUUUGUUGUGUUUGAAGUUAUAGACUUGUUCUUUGCCAUAAGAAGAGUAGACUGGAAGUGGAAUCACAUCCAUACCAUGUUUAGAUCUCAAGAUUUAAGCAGUCAAACAUGGCUGACCAACCAUGACCAAACUGUUCUGGAAAACCUAGAUUUGCCCAGAAUGGUCUGACAAGCUUUUCUAAGCCUUAGAUCUUGUUGUGUGUUAAUAUUUUGUCCAUGUUGUUGUUUUGUUGUUGUAGUCUGAUAUGUAGACUACAUAUUAGAGUCACUAGAUCACUUAGAUCAUAACCGGAAUGAAAGAUAAUCUCAGUCAAACCAGCGUUGACCACCAGUUUUUGACGAAAUCUGGAAAACCCAGAUUUCUCAAGAACAGCCCCUGACCCCUACUUUGACCGACCUAAAUUUUCCUUUGAUGUUGUUGUUAGACUGUUCUGAUGUUAUCAACUUAUACCCUGACAUGUAUACUUCAUGUGUGAACUCUUAGAUCACACAAAGCGAACCUGGAAUUCAAGUUAUAAAGAUCUAAAGUGGGUCACUAGCAAUUGUUCUUCAUUUCUGGAAAACCCAGAAAUGAAGAACAGCUUUGUCAGAGUUUUUGAAGGCUUAGAUAUCUCUGUUGUGAUGUUGUUUGGCUAGGAAUCUUGAUGGGAAUUAUAGUAUUACAUCAAUACUUCACUAUCAACACUUUAGUCAACCCAGAAACAUU